AUUGAACGCUGGCGGCAGGCUUAACACAUGCAAGUCGAGCGGGGAAAGGUAGCUUGCUACCUGACCUAGCGGCGGACGGGUGAGUAAUGCUUAGGAAUCUGCCUAUUAGUGGGGGACAACAUCUCGAAAGGGAUGCUAAUACCGCAUACGUCCUACGGGAGAAAGCAGGGGACCUUCGGGCCUUGCGCUAAUAGAUGAGCCUAAGUCGGAUUAGCUAGUUGGUGGGGUAAAGGCCUACCAAGGCGACGAUCUGUAGCGGGUCUGAGAGGAUGAGCCGCCACACUGGGACUGAGACACGGCCCAGACUCCUACGGGAGGCAGCAGUGGGGAAUAUUGGACAAUGGGGGGAACCCUGAUCCAGCCAUGCCGCGUGUGUGAAGAAGGCCUUUUGGUUGUAAAGCACUUUAAGCGAGGAGGAGGCUACCGAGAUUAAUACUCUUGGAUAGUGGACGUUACUCGCAGAAUAAGCACCGGCUAACUCUGUGCCAGCCGCCGCGGUAA
rnacentral:rRNA from 1 species